rnacentral:tRNA from 1 species
AUAUUUUAAAGAAUAAAUCUUCCACGAUAUCUUCAAUAUCAUACUCUAAAUAUAAGCUAUUAAAAUA